UAGCGCUACCCUCCACUUCCCGAUUCCAGGAAUGCCGCUACAAGUGUCCGCACACAUUCAUAUUAUUUACAAGAUGAACGCGCCGUCACGUGGCUCCGAUUAUCCGCCUCGCGCUGUCCGGCACAUCAGUGCUCACAGUUACACGGAACAACUGUCCCACAGCACAUCCCACUAGGGUACCUUCGUGUACAUGAUCGACGCAACUGAUUCCCAUCUCCUCACACUCACCACGGACAACUACAUAUCAUGUCCAGGUGUCACAGAAUGAGAAGCAUACUUAAGCUCAAAAUGGCUAGACCCAAGAUCCAUCUCAAUAUUGUGUGCAGAAAAGGGAUGGUAAAAUAAAAGCAUGAGCUAACUCUUGGAUUUUACUGCACUAUUGAUCAGACUUUGAUCAAGCUAUGAUAUUUGGCAGCAACACAUAAUGCAAAAGUGGCUUUUACACCAGUGAUGUAUGUAUCUACAUACAUAGGCCAAUGAAUGCUACCAGGACACUGCUCUUCUUCAAUCUUUCAUGUCAUCAGCCUGCUGUCGUUCACAACCUGAAGCCAUCCUCCAGGCAUUUUACUGCAUUGUAAAUCAGUUCUGAACUGUCUACAUUUCAUCUGUCUUGUUAAAAUUAUACAUUGUAAUGUAAUUGUUCUAUGUAAAUGUCACAAGUCUAAAGAGCAUGAAAAACAAGUUUUGUUGUUUAAUAAAGAGGCUUUCAAGCUGUUA